UAAUUAAGUUCCGUGGUUGAAUCGUGGAACUAAAUACGUUUUUCCACUCGUAAAAUAAUUUUAUUCAAUUUGCAAACCGUAAAGGGUUUAAUGACGUUCAUCCAAACUGAGCUGGAAUGAUUAGUUAUUGAUCUAUCAAUCAGCAUGUAAUCCGCUGCCUUUCUUUGUUUUCUAUUAACUGAAUACAUUUUUUUUUUUGGUCCGAUUUAUAUUAAUUGAUAUUGAUCUGUCUUUAUUUUCACAUUGUUGUUUCUGUGAUGAACUGGUAGAAAACCAAACCAGGAACAUUGAAUCAUCCAGACCUUUACAUGAACUAAUCAGGCUCUGCCUCUGAUCGCCGUAUUGAUCGCCGUAUUGAUCGCCUAUCUUAAAUGGGUCCUGUGUAGUUUCUGUCGUAUUUGUAUUGAUGCAUGAGGGAUAACGCAUGUCUCAUGGUGUUUUUAUGCAGAUUAAAGACUUCUGUAUUUGAUCUUCAGGGGACGAGAUGAGUCUUCAGUGGACGGCCGUGGCCACCUUCCUCUAUGGAGAGGUCUUCUUCGUCCUGCUGCUCUGCAUCCCGUUCAUCUCCCCCAAGAGGUACCGAGCUCCCGGUUCUUCAUCGGGGAAGUUUAGUGUGACCUCAUCAGAAGGAAGGGGAGCGUCGUAAAGAAAAAAAAACCUACUACGCAAAACUCUUCUUUUAAAAUGAAAGUUUAAUCUUCUCUCAAACAAAGAAGUCUGUUUGGAUCAUUAAAAACAUACAUGUAUCAUUUAAAAUGUAUAUAAAUAUUUAAUGUAUAAACUAUGAUAAAUCACUGGCGGGCCAGCGUUUCUGAGAUUGCAGUGAGACGAGGAGAAAAGGUUGUGCCGGUUGGUUGUGCCGGUUGGUUGUGCCGGUUGGUUGUGUGUUUCAGCCUGGUUUGUACCAUUUAUUAUUCUACAUGGAUCAUCAGAACUCUCAGCCCCCCCCUCCUUUAUGAGUUUGCAGGUAGGCUUUGUCUUCUGUGUGUGUGUGUGUGUGUAUGUAUGUAUGUAUGUAUGUAUGUAUGUAUGAAUAUAAUAUAUAUAUAUAUAUAUUAUAUAUAAUAUAUUCAUCUGCAGCAGUAGAUGGCGUCGGCUGCAGCGUCAUCAGGGAGAACGUUAGAUACGUGUGCAUCUCGGCCUUCAGUCAUCCAGGUGACCUGAAGCUGGAAUAAGUAUCUGUUGUUUAAACCAAGCUAGUGUGCUAAAUGGUAGUUGAUUCUACUGUUUUAAGUUUAACCUGAUUGCUAGUUUGCUUUAGGGCUGUCAACAAAUAUUCAGAUAUUUAGCAAAUAAAAUUAAAACGUCAGCGCGGCGGUCUGCUCAGUGGACGCGCGCCGGAUACCGACUGCAUGUCGC
ensembl:lncRNA